UACGAAACUUAAAUACACGCGGCAUAAAUUGAAGUUGGCAUUUACUCAUAAGACGAUUGUAGAGGAAGCAAAUGAUCAUCUUUUUGGUAUGAGUAUCUUCGACUUAAAACCUUAUGAGUAUUUGAUAAACAAAAUUGAUGUUGAAGAAAGUGAACUCUUCGAUGUCAUUGGAGAGGUUGUAAGUUAUGGUGAGGUAGAAUCCCAUAACCAAGGUGAUAAAACCAGCAAUUAUAUGAAUGUGGAACUUGAAGAUCAUGAGAGGAAUAAUAUUUCGGCAAUAUUUUAGGGAGAAUUCGUUGACCAAAUCUUACCACAUUUACAGGGAUCACCCCAUCAGCCGGUCAUAAUUGUUAUGCAGUUGAUAAAAGCUCACAAAUUUCAAGGUAUUUCUAUUGUCUUGAUGACAUGGGAUAAUUUUUUUAUGUUAAUUUUUUGGUUCAGAAACUAAAGUUAUAUA